AACGAACGCUGGCGGCAUGCCUAACACGUGCAAGUCGAACGAGACCUUCGGGUCUAGUGGCGCACGGGUGCGUAACGCGUGGGAACCUGCCCUUAGGUUCGGAAUAACUCCCCGAAAGGGGUGCUAAUACCGGAUAAUGUCUUCGGACCAAAGAUUUAUCGCCUUUGGAUGGGCCCGCGUUGGAUUAGCUAGUUGGUAGGGUAAAAGCCUACCAAGGCGACGAUCCAUAGCUGGUCUGAGAGGAUGAUCAGCCACACUGGGACUGAGACACGGCCCAGACUCCUACGGGAAGCAGCAGUGGGGAAUAUUGGACAAUGGGCGAAAGCCUGAUCCAGCAAUGCCGCGUGAGUGAUGAAGGCCUUAGGGUUGUAAAGCUCUUUUACCCGGGAUGAUAAUGACAGUACCGGGAGAAUAAGCUCCGGCUAACUCCGUG
rnacentral:rRNA from 1 species